rnacentral:rRNA from 1 species
GAUGAACGCUGGCGGCGUGCCUAAUACAUGCAAGUCGAGCGAACGGACGAGAAGCUUGCUUUUCUGAUGUUAGCGGCGGACGGGUGAGUAACACGUGGAUAACCUACCUAUAAGACUGGGAUAACUUCGGGAAACCGGAGCUAAUACCGGAUAAUAUUUUGAACCGCAUGGUUCAAAAGUGAAAGACGGUCUUGCUGUCACUUAUAGAUGGAACCGCGCUGCAUUAGCUAGUUGGUAAGGUAACGGCUUACCAAGGCAACGAUGCAUAGCCGACCUGAGAGGGUGAUCGGCCACACUGGAACUGAGACACGGUCCAGACUCCUACGGGAGGCAGCAGUAGGGAAUCUUCCGCAAUGGGCGAAAGCCUGACGGAGCAACGCCGCGUGAGUGAUGAAGGUCUUCGGAUCGUAAAACUCUGUUAUUAGGGAAGAACAUAUGUGUAAGUAACUGUGCACAUCUUGACGGUACCUAAUCAGAAAGCCACGGCUAACUACGUG